rnacentral:lncRNA from 1 species
AUGCAAAUACACAUUUAUGUGUAUUACAACCUUUUCGUUAAAUUAACGCUGCCUUAUAAGGAAUUUAGAGCGGGGGGGGGGAACCCCCACCUCAGCAUCAUCCGCUAUCCUCAAGUAAAGCUUGACUUUGGCGGGGGCGGGGGGGGUACACUGGACUCUGCCCCCCCCAACGUGCCAAUGCCGGUCUUGUGCCCGAAGCGGUCUGGGAAGCGCAAUUCGCCGCAGCCGCAUUUAGCACACCCCGUGCCUUUAGGCACUUGCAGAAUGUCCGAAUGCGUUUUCCUUCACCAAAGGACUUCGGCGAGGAAGAGGAACGAGACGAGAAAAAUGGGGAACGAAGAGAGGGUGGGGAAGGCCCAGCCGGGGGCGGAAAACAGGAAACAAGGACGCAGCGGCCCGAGCCUCGGCCCCAGCGAGCGCGCCCCGCUCCCCGGCAGCGCGGUCGGCGUUGGGCGCCAACGCCCGGAGCGGCGCUCCCUCCCCGCCCUCGGCGCGUCCCCCUCCCAGCCGCAGCGGCGCGCAGCCUUCCCGCAGGUUCUGCGGCAGCCCUGGGCCCCCGCGCCGGGCCUCGCUCGGCAGCUCGCCAUCCUGCGCGCUCCUGCGGGGAGACGGACUUCCCACGCGCCGGCGGCCCGGCUCCCGGGCGCCCCUGCCCGCCGAGGCCGGCCGCGCGCUCGCAACCCGGCCCGGGUUCCGGCCGCAGGCAGCAGCGGCCCGCGCCCCGCCUCCCCGAGGGCGCCGGCCGUCCCGCCCGCCGCGGACGCCCCUCGGCCACCGCCCGCCCGCCGCCGCCGCCGCCGCCGCCGCCGCCCCGGGCGCUCUCCGACCACCCCGCCGGGGCCCCGAGGGGCGGGGGCCGGCGGCCGCAGAGUCACUCCGGGGCGCCCUCCCUCCCCCGCGCCGCUGGGCGCACGCGCAGCAGCCGCCGCCGCCUUUAUUUGGUCCGCGAUGGCUUCUCUCGCGCCGCACCGUCCUCCGCCCGCAGGCGGCUCCCUCCCCGCGCACCCCGGAGCCCCCGGGACCAGCCUCGAGCAGGGCCCCGAGCGGGACUAUCCUUAA